rnacentral:rRNA from 1 species
AGAGUUUGAUCCUGGCUCAGAACGAACGCUGGCGGCAUGCCUAACACAUGCAAGUCGAACGGACGGUAGCGAUACCGUCAGUGGCGGACGGGUGAGUAUAACAUAGGUGACCUACCCCAAAGCGGGGGAUAACAGUUCGAAAGAACUGCUAAUACCCCAUGUGGUCUUCGAGGUUAGAGUCUCGACGAUUAAAGGAGCAAUCCGCUUUGGGAGGGGCCUGUGCCCCAUCAGCUAGUUGGUAGGGUAACGGCCUACCAAGGCAGCGACGGGUAGGGGGCCUGAGAGGGUGAUCCCCCACAUUGGCACUGACACACGGGCCAAACUCCUACGGGAGGCAGCAGUGAGGAAUAUUGCACAAUGGGCGAAAGCCUGAUGCAGCAACGCCGCGUGAGCGAUGAAGGCCUUCGGGUCGUAAAGCUCUUUUGAGAGGGACGAGCAAGGACGGUACCUCUUGAAUAAGUCACGGCUAACUACGUGCCAGCAGCCGCGGUAAAACGUAGGUGGCAAGCGUUAUCCGGAUUCACUGGGCGUAAAGCGAGUGCAGGUGGCCUCGUAAGUUGGAUGUGAAAUUUCUCGGCUUAACCGGGACGGGUCAUUCAAUACUGCGGGGCUUGAGGGUAGAAGAGGGGGGUGGAAUUGCCGGUGUAGUGGUGAAAUGCGUAGAUAUCGGGAGGAACACCAGUGGCGAAAGCGGCCCCCUGGUCUGCUCCUGACACUCAGACUCGAAAGCUAGGGUAGCGAACGGGAUUAGAAACCCCGGUAGUCCUAGCUGUAAACGAUGGAUGCUAGGUGUAGGUGGUAUUGACCCCAUCUGUGCCGAAGCUAACGCGUUAAGCACUCCGCCUGGGGAGUACGGCCGCAAGGUUAAAACUCAAAGGAAUUGACGGGGACCCGCACAAGCAGCGGAGCGUGUGGUUUAAUUCGAUGCUACACGAAGAACCUUACCCAGGUUUGACAUGCAAGUAGUAGUGAAGCGAAAGCGGAACGAUCCUUCGGGAAGCUUGCACAGGUGCUGCAUGGCUGUCGUCAGCUCGUGCCGUGAGGUGUUUGGUUAAGUCCACUAACGAGCGCAACCCUUGUCGUCAGUUACAUGUGUCUGACGAGACUGCCGGCCUUAAGCCGGAGGAAGGUGGGGAUGAUGU